rnacentral:rRNA from 1 species
AGCAGCAGCCGCGGGAAUACGUAGGUGGCAAGCGUUGUCCGGAAUUAUUGGGCGUAAAGCGCGCGCAGGUGGUUUAAUAAGUCUGAAGUGAAAUGCCCGGGCUCAACCCGGGAACUGCUUUGGAAACUGUCGAUCUGGAGUGUUGGAGAGGUAAGUGGAAUUCCUGGUGUAGCGGUGAAAUGCGUAGAGAUCGGGAGGAACAUCCAUGGCGAAGGCAGCUACCUGGACCAACACUGACACUGAGGCACGAAAGCGUGGGGGGCAAACAGGAUUAGAUACCCCCGUAGUCCCUGUCUCUUAUAC